rnacentral:rRNA from 1 species
CAUUAUGACAUUAUCCCAUUGAAAACACUGGUUCACAUUCAAUCACCAAAGUUAAGCAAUGUUGAGCCUAGUUAGUACUUAGAUGGGUGGCUAUUUGGAAAACCUAGGUUUUUGUAAACA